CUGCUGCCUUCCGUAGGAGUCUGGUCCGUGUCUCAGUACCAGUGUGGGGGACCUUCCUCUCAGAACCCCUAGACAUCGUCGCCUUGGUGGGCCGUUACCCCGCCAACAAGCUAAUGUCACGCAUGCCCAUCCGUCUCCGGAAGUUGCCUCCUUUGGCCGAAAGAAGAUCGCCUCCCCUCGGCCACAUGCGGUAUUAGGCCGGAUUUCUCCCGGGUUAUCCCGCGUGAAACGGGUCAGGUUGCAUACGCGUUACUCACCCGUGCGCCGGUCG
rnacentral:rRNA from 1 species